rnacentral:rRNA from 1 species
UGUUACAAUGGCAGGUACAGAGGGAUGCUACCGGGCGACCGGAUGCGGAUCUCGAAAGCCUGUCCCAGUUCGGACUGGAGUCUGCAACCCGGCUCCACGAAGUUGGAUUCGCCAGUAAUCGCGCAUCAGCCAUGGCGCGGUGAAUACGUUCCCGGGCCUUGUACACACCGCCCGUCAAGCCAUGGGAGCCGGGGGGCGCCUGAAGUCCGGGACCGCGAGGACCGGCCUAGGGCGAAACUGGUAACUGGGGCUAAGUCGUAACAAGGUACC